rnacentral:misc_RNA from 1 species
GCUCAUGUGUACAAAAUUAGAAAUGACAAGUUCGUUGUUUUUACCAUUUUUCAAAUUUUCAUUGCAAAUAACUUGCUCACCAAGACUGAGAGUCGAGAUUCCUAAAACCGACAAACAAUGUUAAAUAGUCUGAAAACGUUCGACAAGUCGUCCUUAAAAAAGACGGCAACAAAAAUAACAACGGAAACGGGGGAUCAGUUCGUGGAAUUCAAAAACGAUCAAGGAUUGACAGAGAGAAGAAAAGUGACAGAGAAUGGAGACUUCAGAGGCUUUGUUGUCGACCUCUUUGCUGAUAUUCAAGUUGGCGAAAUUUUACCAGGGCUUAUAUUAGUUCAUUGACGAAGGAAUGGACAAAGGAGGAUGUGUAUUGGUGCAUUGUAAUGCUGGAAUUUCUAGAUCAUCUACAAUUGUGAUAGCUUAUCUCAUGAUGAAGAAACACUGGCCUUUAAACAAAGCUUAUCAGUAUGUUAAAGAAAAAAGGUCAAAAAUUAGACCAAAUGCAGGGUUUCAAGAACAACUUCAAACCUUUGAACAACAGCUUAAAAGUUCAGGACAGAUUAAUGAUUGUUGAAAUUUAACAUUAUCUUCCAAAGAUGAAUGUACCAAGUAUAAAUUACUCUGAUGUUCAAUGAUGUAUAUUUAAAAAAAUAAUUGAUGGAUGUCGGCUUCGAGCCUAAAACACAACUAUUAUGUUUUAUAUUUCAGAGCUACCUAAAGUUAUUGUUGGGCAUUAAUUAUAAUUCAUUAAAGGCUAAAUUUUGUAAUUUGUUGAUGUAUUACCGAUACAUGUACUUGUUUUAUAGCUUAUUUUUUAAAGAUUGGCAAUGCUAGUAUUGUAUACAAAUAUAUCUAUUUAUUUAAGGACAUGACCCUGUAAUACUCAUUAUGUAAAGAAAUAAAUUUUAUUUAAAAUUUUC